rnacentral:tRNA from 1 species
ACAAUGGUGAUUCAGUGGUAGAAUUCUUGCCUUUCAUGCAGGAGACCCGGGUUCAAUUCUCAGCCAGUGCA